rnacentral:rRNA from 1 species
UGACCAAUUAAAUAGCCGCAGUAAAUUUACUGUGCUAAGGUAGCAUAAUCAUUUGCCUUAUAAUUAAAGGAUAGCACAAACGGCUUCACGAAUUAAAAAUUGUAUUAACCAUAACUAAUAAAAUUAGAAUAAAAGUCAAAAUACUUUUAAAAUUAAGAAAGACGAAAAGACCCUAUCGAACUUUACAAAAGUUUAGCUGGGGCAGCCUAAAAAUAACAACUUACUACAUUUACACCCAAACAUCCGUUCCAUACGACUAUAACAAGUUACCGUAGGGAUAACAGCAUAAUUAUUUUUAAAAGUUCUUAUAUAAAAAAUAGAUUAUGACCUCGAUGUUGAAUUUAGAUACUCUUUAACAAGCAACCUUAUUAAAAGAAAGUCUGUUCGACUUUUAAAUAUCUACAUGAUUUGAGUUCAGAUCGGUGUAAACCAGAUCGGUUUUUAUCUUCUCUAACAUAGAUAUAGUACGAAAGGACCUAUCUAAGUGAUAUAAUUACCCUUAUAGCAAACAUACUGCAUAAGACUUAGAAUCUUACUAUACUAGUAUCCUAAUUUUUAACAGCAUAAUCAGUUUAAUCUCAAUCCUGAUCAGAGUAGCGUUUUACACAAUUCUAGAACGAAAAACAUUAGCAUACAUCCAAAUACGAAAAGGACCUAAUAAAGUAGGUUUAAUAGGAAUCCUCCAACCAUUUAGAGACGCCAUUAAACUGUUUAAUAAAAAUUGCACAUUCCCUACUUCAUCUAACUACUUUAUCGUAAUUUCAACCCCUGCUUUAUCAUUCUUCCUAUCUUUAAUACUUUGACCCAUUCUACCCUUAGGAGUAUAUGGUAUUCUAGACAGCCCGUUCAAUGUAAUUAUUUUGUUUGUAAUUUCAAGCCUGUCCGUAUAUUCAGUAAUCCUAAUUGGAUGAGCCGCCA